rnacentral:misc_RNA from 1 species
ACACCCUCAAGCUAUGCUUGGUGUUGGGCGUCUGUCCCGCUCUCGAAGCGCGGACUCGCCUCAAAGUCAUUGGCGGCGGUCGUGCCGGCUCCUCGCGCAGCACAUUUGCGCUUCUCGGAGGCCCGGCGGAUCAGCGUCCAGCAAGCUACUACCAUG